AGAUAUCAGUAAAAUUCACAUGAAGAUUCUUGACUUCAAUAAGCUCUUCAUAUUCAAAUUAUUAAUAAAUUUUACUGAUCACAACAAAAUCCUUCUUUAACUCCUGGCUCUGCAAAACUCCAAUUGCAUCACAGUCUAAUUUUCUAAUGAAGUUAUAGAACGAAGCCUUACGGAAUGAGGCCUUAACGACUGUACAAGGAUCUUGUCUCAAACAAGGAGCCUUAACGACUGGCGGAGGUUGAAAGAAUGGAGCCUCAACGACUCAGAUUGGAAGCAGAGUGGGUAGACUCUGUCUUCACUUUCUCUUGUGGCUCCUCACGGCUCAUAAGCAUCAGAAAAGGGAGGAGGAGGAGCACAACCACCAGAGACCCUCGUAAGAAAGCCCCCGAGUACUCAAUUUUGGUGCCAACCCGAGGGCGAGCCUGGACCAACUAGACUAUAUAAAAGUGAAAACGCACGUUUACCGUCACUUGCAGACCAAGACCCCAGACUCCAGACAACGCUGGAUCCAGAAGUGGUGAAAUACAUCUACCUCUAAAUCUAUCUCCCUUUCUCUUCUUCAUUCUCGAUCUUCUUUUACUUCAUCAUCUUCUGCAGCUGUUGCCUAAAUUUGCCUUAAAUUCUUUGAUAAAGAAAUAACAACUAUGCUAAGUAACCCUUAUCCUUUAUGCUUACUAAUUGUUGUUAGAAAGUUCUUUAAUUUUGCCUUGAAGUAGCUGGCUAGCUGUUGUUAAGAAAGCUCAAUAAAUUGUUCUGUAUUGUUCCUCUGGGUCAUUUUCUGACCCCUGGAGGGCAGUGGGUGCCCUAUAUACUCGGAUUCCAGAGGUUCACCUUUCUUACAACUCACUGAGUUGGACAAGACUGCUUGUGUGAACGUUAACCCUUAUGGUUUUUUUUUUUUUUGAAUAACUGUAAUUUCUGCGGGGUUCUGUUAAUUGUUCUUAGUUUAAUACUUGUUUUGUAACACUGGAAAAUAAACUGUUUUCGCUGAUGAGAACCCAAAUAUGAGUAAAGCCUAGCAGGGAUAUAGUAAUGCCACUCUCUUCCAUCGGUGCAAUUACUUGCAUUUUAUUUACUCAUGUCAAUCAGCAUCAACCCCUUGCAUGUCUCUGAAUUUCAGAUAUGUUUAGAAAUAUGGUUCUGAAAUCUAACUUAGACCAUUACAUUUUCUCCUUAACCUGUACCUGUGAUUUUUCCUGGUUCACCUGCAUCUGCUCAUAGUAGGAAACAAAGGCAUUUCUUAUAUGCAGGCUGCAUAUUAAUCAUAUUCCUUCCUAGAGGUCUGUAAUAAUUUCACAUGUCCAGACAGGUUUUUCCUCCCUUCUACAGGGCUGAUGGUUCAUAAUGAGAGGCCUGAGGGAUUUCAAGACAGUUAUAGUGAAAAUAUCAUAAUUCUAUAGUUUAAGUACAGAUGAAUUUACCUUUCUUUGUGGUUCAUAAUUAGUUUCCAUGGAACACGCUAUGGAUGUGGAUAGAUAGGUAAAGUAACUUCAAGUACCAGACCUCCAACAGAAUGAUGCUAACAAGCCAGUUCUGUGGCUGGACUCAUUGGGGAACUUUAGGAAACUACAAAAUUAUAUCUUGCAGGAUAUCUUUGCAUCUUAUAUAGAUGCCCAAUCCCAUCUGUUUGGAAAAACACAGAUGAAAAAACAUUUACAAUGUCUGUUGCAUUAUUAUCAUAGUUUUACUUAUAGAGCACCUGCGCUAAGAUCAGUAGAAAUUCUGAAGCAAAGAUGAUUUCCAACCCGGCUAUCUUCAUUAUUUGUAGGAUUAUAUAAGGGAGAAUAAAGGUAACAAAUCAAAUUCUUAGACUUAAGAUGUAGUCUACAAAGUGAAGACACUGGCAUAAUUUUUACUUCCAAAUCAAAGGGAUUUCAUGAUACUAAGUAUUAAGAGGAAAAAACAGCAAUUUUCAUCAAAGCGUCUAAAUUUCUUUCAACAUCUCUGCUAUUAGUAGGGUACUGGGGAAACUUUGAGCAUUACUUGUUUUAGCAUAUUACAUUUCUAAGGACUGUUAAAUUAACUAGUACUUGAAAUACCGAGCUUGCUUCAUUAGUAGUAUAAAGUAGUUAGAAAUAAAUAUCUGAUCAAAAAUAAAUAAACCUUCUCACUGUGAUAUCUUAAAAGAAAAAAGGUACAACAUUUGAUAGAAAAUGUACAGUCAGAUUUUGAGCAGCAGUUUCGUUUAACUAAAUGCUCCAGUCAGUGGAGCAAAAACCACAUCAAAAAAAUACAGAUUAUAGUUUUGACUGUCUCUAUAAAGUUUCCGUGCUCUGUAUAGCUAUUUAAGUGGAAAAGCCCACAGAUUGCCAUGACAUACUAUCUGAGGAGCUUUAUGAAUACUUUAAGCACUGUCCUAAACAGAACACACAAAUAAGUUUCACUUAUAAAAAGUUUGUUUUUUUUGUAACUAAAAGGUUUUAAAAAUUUUUUGAAUGACCGUUAUUUGACUGAUACUCAUUACUUGACUGCUGUUCUCACUGGAAACACUGGGUGAAAAAAAAAGAACAAUUGGAGCUGACAUUUUAUAUACACAUCAUGAGAAUGAACAGAUCUCUAUGUAAUGUUAGAAAUUUAUUAAUUCUAUGUAUUACAACAGAAAUUGAAAUAAAAAUGAUAGCUUAUUUCU
rnacentral:lncRNA from 7 species